GUCCUCGUGGAGUAAGGAAGCUCACUCCUACUAAAUACGGGUGCGAAAAUGGGUAGUUCCGGGAGAGCUGGUGGUUCAAACCCACCCGAGGACA